rnacentral:rRNA from 1 species
CAGUAGCCGCGGGAAUACGGAGGGUGCAAGCGUUAAUCGGAAUUACUGGGCGUAAAGCGCACGCAGGCGGUCUGUCAAGUCAGAUGUGAAAUCCCCGGGCUUAACCUGGGAACUGCACUUGAAACUGGCAGGCUAGAGUCUUGUAGAGGGGGGUAGAAUUCCAGGUGUAGCGGUGAAAUGCGUAGAGAUCUGGAGGAAUACCGGUGGCGAAGGCGGCCCCCUGGACAAAGACUGACGCUCAGGUGCGAAAGCGUGGGGAGCAAACAGGAUUAGAUACCCCUGUAGUCCCUGACUCUUAUAC